ACUUAGUAUUCGAGUUGGGGUCAGAACAGCAAAGAUUAUUUUCAGAUUCAGGGUUCCUGCAGGAUGUUCACCAGUAGACAGAUGUGGUUACAGGGAUCUAGAUUUACCUACCCUUUAUGUUAGAACAGGAACUAGCAAGGGUCAACCCUUGUGGCUUUGCGAGAGUAUGUAAUUCAACCUAAUUGAAAGGCAGAGUCCAUGUAACACUACUAAACCAGAAAAUGCGCUGUACCUGAUGAUCCGUGUGUGUGUGUCAGGGGAUGGGAAAAAAAAGUUAGAUAUGGAAAAGAGGAUCUUUGUGUUCAUACCUCUGGUGCAGUUUUCCUAGAACUCUUAGAGGCAGGCCCAGAAGUGGAAACAAGCCUGUCCUUGACUGUGCACACGUGCCUUAAACCAAGAGUGAUUUAAAGGAUGGUGCAGAGGCCGCCAUAAACUAGAGGGUGUGCAAAGGAAGUGUUUUCCUGAGGCUGAAGUCCUCUUCCCCAAGCUGUCUGUACAGAGAGGCCAUGGGUCACCCCUGGACUGACUGACCAGGCCUGGUGUCUGGCUGCCUGUGCUGACUUCAUCUUUGACCCGGAAAAAGCCACAUUUCCUCUUCAGGCCUCUGUGCCUUCUGCCCAGUGAGCUGGUUGGACCCUGUGAACUUUCAGGCAGCAUGGAGUUUCUUAGGCUGGGUGACUCCUCACUGCAUAAUGACCCCGUGGCUCAAGCAGGUGAAGGUCGUCUACAGCCAUUGUUGUUUAGUCGUUAAGUCAUGUCCAAUUCUUUGUGACCCCAUGGACUGAAGCCAGCCAGGCUUCUCUGUCCAUGGGAUUCUCCAGGCAAAAAUACUGGAGUGGGUUGACAUUUCCUCCUCCAAGGGAUCUUUCCAACUCAGGGAUCGAACCCUUGUCUCCUGCACUGGCAGGCAGAUUCAUUACCACAGAGGCACCAGGGGCGGUGCUGAGCUUCAGUAGGUCAGGUGCAUCCUCGCUGUUCGACGACUCCGCCUGGUUGGAGCAGGUGAGAGUCAUCCACAGUCGAGCUGCAGGCUUUCCUUGGUGGAUCUGAACUCACACACUCUCCAGUCCAUAGCCGAAGCUGCAGCUCUCAAAGGCAUCAGGCUCAGGAGGAGAGUGUUAGCAAUGGAAACCACCAAUAUGCCAGAGGAGCCUAGUUUGAGAAUCACUAUGGAAAGCAACAUUCCUGUGUGUCUUCUCUAAUUAACAGAAAACUUACAGGAUGAGUAACACUCUUCAGUGAUCACUGAAAGAAUGGGAAUUUGAGAAAAUAUUCAUUUGCUGUCUGACUUCUCCAUCCAUUUCUUCAUUUAUUCAACACAAUUGAUCUGGCACCUUCAGUAAUGCUUACAUCAAUAUUCUGACAGACACCAUGACAAGUGUCCACUCUAAGAUCCCCAUCGAAUGGAGGAAACAGAUAUAUGUUCAAAAAUUAGUGGCAUAAGAGCUAUCAUCAAGACAUCCUUAUGGUCUGAUGGAGAUCAGAGGAAAAGCUGUUAAUAGCCUGGGAUUGUCAUGGAAGGCUUCUUGGAGGAGAUGAUGGUGACUGAGCUUAUCUUGAUGGGAUGAAGCAAAAGGGGGUCAGCUUGGAGCCAAGUAAGAAAAAGAUGCUCCCUCUCUGACUUUAAACAUACCUGCGCAGUGAGUGUGCCACAUUUCAAAAAUGAGAACUGAUGAAGCAGGAAGAAAAGGCGGAUUGGAAUCUGAAUGCAUUAGUAGCGGUCUCUUGUGAGAGUUGGCUGGAAAGCGCUCAGGGCAUCCUGCAUAGGGCUGUCUGCCGAAUUGACUUGGCCUGUGUCCUUUCCCUUCCCAACUCUGCUCCCUUCAUAUGUCCUAAUAGGUUAUGGCUUCCAGGAGGAAAUAUGCUGUGCAUUUUCAGAGAGGCAUUUUGGAAACACAAAGCCUGACAUCAAAGGAGUAGUUUGUUCUUUCUAGGAAAAAAAAAAGUAAAAUGUUGCUAUAAAAAGUAAUAAAGUCUAAAGUAGAAAGUACAAGUCCCUUGAUUAGUUUAUUUAUUUAUUUAUUUAUUACCUUUUAGAAAAUCUCCAAUGCAAUCAAAUUACACCUGCUUUGUAAUUUUUUCCUACUUUCCAUUUCUUAGAUUUCUUAAAAAGUGAGUCAGUAGCAAUGCCUUAAUGUUGUAUUUUGUCGUAAGUAUUUAAUAAUAAUAAGGAGGCUAAGAAUGAGGAUAUUUUUAAGAUCAUGGUUUGGUUUAGAGAAUUGGAAUACAGGCCCUCCUUCCCCUAAAUCUGUUUCUCUUCUGCAUUUUCCCAUCUCGGUAAAUGGCAUCACUUACUAACGGCCUUGGUGCCGAAACCUAGCACCUGGCUUCCUUCCUGCUUCCCUCACCCCACACCCGUCC
ensembl:lncRNA